UACGAAGGGGGCUAGCGUUGCUCGGAAUCACUGGGCGUAAAGCGCACGUAGGCGGAUCUUUAAGUCGGGGGUGAAAUCCCGGGGCUCAACCCCGGAACUGCCUUCGAUACUGAGGAUCUUGAGUCCGGGAGAGGUGAGUGGAACUGCGAGUGUAGAGGUGAAAUUCGUAGAUAUUCGGAAGAACACCAGUGGCGAAGGCGACAUACUGGCUCAUUACUGACGCUGAGGCUCGAAAGCGUGGGGAGCAAACAGG
rnacentral:rRNA from 1 species